rnacentral:rRNA from 1 species
GAUGAACGCUGGCGGCGUGCCUAAUACAUGCAAGUCGAGCGAACGGACGAGAAGCUUGCUUCUCUGAUGUUAGCGGCGGACGGGUGAGUAACACGUGGAUAACCUACCUAUAAGACUGGGAUAACUUCGGGAAACCGGAGCUAAUACCGGAUAAUAUUUUGAACCGCAUGGUUCAAAAGUGAAAGACGGUCUUGCUGUCACUUAUAGAUGGAUCCGCGCUGCAUUAGCUAGUUGGUAAGGUAACGGCUUACCAAGGCAACGAUGCAUAGCCGACCUGAGAGGGUGAUCGGCCACACUGGAACUGAGACACGGUCCAGACUCCUACGGGAGGCAGCAGUAGGGAAUCUUCCGCAAUGGGCGAAAGCCUGACGGAGCAACGCCGCGUGAGUGAUGAAGGUCUUCGGAUCGUAAAACUGUGUUAUUAGGGAAGAACAUAUGUGUAAGUAACUGUGCACAUCUUGACGGUACCUAAUCAGAAAGCCACGGCUAACUACGUG